rnacentral:rRNA from 1 species
UACGUAGGGGGCGAGCGUUGUCCGGAUUUAUUGGGCGUAAAGAGCGUGUAGGCGGCCAGGUAGGUCUGCUGUGAAACUCGAGGCUCAACCUCGAGACGUCGGCGGAAACCAUCUGGCUAGAGUCCGGAAGAGGAGAGUGGAAUUCCUGGUGUAGCGGUGAAAUGCGCAGAUAUCAGGAAGAACACCCGUGGCGAAGGCGGGUCUCUGGGCCGGUACUGACGCUGAGGCACGAACGGUCAGGGGAGCAAACGGG